AACGAACGCUGGCGGCAGGCUUAACACAUGCAAGUCGAACGAAGUCUUCGGACUUAGUGGCGGACGGGUGAGUAACACGUGGAAACGUGCCUUUAGGUUCGGAAUAACUCAGGGAAACUUGAGCUAAUACCGUAUACGUCCGUGAGGAGAAAGAUUUAUCGCCCUGAGACGGGCCCGCGUCGGAUUAGCUAGUUGGUGGGGGAACGUCCUACCAAGGCGACGAUCCGUAGCUGAUCUUAGAGGAUGAUCAGCCGAACUUGGACUGAGACACGGCCCAGACUCCCACGGGAGGCAGCAGUGGGGAAUCUUGGACAAUGGGCGCAAGCCUGAUCCAGCCAUGCCGCGUGAGUGAAGAAGGUCUUCGGAUUGUAAAGCUCUUUUGCCAGGGACGAUAAUGACGGUACCUGGAGAAUAAGCCCCGGCAAACUUCGUGCCAGCCGCCGCUGUAACAC
rnacentral:rRNA from 1 species